GGAACCAAACUUAGAUUCACAUGCGAGUCGAGCGGAAACGAUCCUAGCUUGCUAGGAGGCGUCGAGCGGCGGACGGGUGAGUAAUGCAUAGGAAUCUGCCCGGUAGUGGGGGAUAACUUGAGGAAACUCAAGCUAAUACCGCAUACGCCCCAAGGGGGAAAGCAGGGGAUCUUCGGACCUUGCGCUAUCGGAUGAGCCUAUGUCGGAUUAGCUAGUUGGUGAGGUAAUGGCUCACCAAGGCCGCGAUCCGUAGCUGGUCUGAGAGGAUGAUCAGCCACAUCGGGACUGAGACACGGCUCGAACUCCUACGGGAGGCAGCAGUGGGGAAUAUUGGACAAUGGGCGAAAGCCUGAUCCAGCCAUGCCGCGUGUGUGAAGAAGGCCUUCGGGUUGUAAAGCACUUUCAGCGAGGAAGAACGCUUGUGGGUUAAUACCCUGCAAGAAGGACAUCACUCGCAGAAGAAGCACCGGCUAACUCCGUGCCAGCAGCCGCGGUAAUACGGAGGGUGCAAGCGUUAAUCGGAAUUACUGGGCGUAAAGCGCGCGUAGGCGGCUUGAUAAGCCGGUUGUGAAAGCCCCGGGCUCAACCUGGGAACGGCAUCCGGAAC
rnacentral:rRNA from 1 species